UACGUAGGGUGCGAGCGUUGUCCGGAAUUAUUGGGCGUAAAGAGCUCGUAGGCGGUUUGUCGCGUCUGCCGUGAAAGUCCGGGGCUCAACUCCGGAUCUGCGGUGGGUACGGGCAGACUAGAGUGAUGUAGGGGGAGACUGGAAUUCCUGGUGUAGCGGUGAAAUGCGCAGAUAUCAGGAGGAACACCGGAUGGCGAAGGCAGGUCUCUGGGCAUUAACUGACGCUGAGGAGCGAAAGCAUGGGGAGCGAACAGG
rnacentral:rRNA from 1 species